GAUGAACGCUGGCGGCGUGCCUAACACAUGCAAGUCGAGCGAUAUACUUCGGUAAAGAGCGGCGGACGGGUGAGUAACGGGUGGGUAACCUGCCCUGUACACACGGAUAACAUACCGAAAGGUAUGCUAAUACGAGAUAAUGUACUUUUAUCGCAUGGUAGAAGUAUCAAAGCUUUUGCGGUACAGGAUGGACCCGCGUCUGAUUAGCUAGUUGGUAAGGUAACGGCUUACCAAGGCGACGAUCAGUAGCCGACCUGAGCGGGUGGUCGGCCACAUUGGAGCUGAGACACGGUCCAGACUCGUAGGGAGGGCAGCAGAGGGGAAUAUUGCACAAUCGGCGAAAGCGUGAUGCAGCUGCGCCGCGUGAGCGAUGAAGGCCUUCGGGUCGUAAAGCUCUGUCCUCAAGGAAGAUAAUGACGGUACUUGAAGAAGAAGCACCGGCUAACUACGUGCCAGCCGCCGCGGUAA
rnacentral:rRNA from 1 species